CAGUCGCCGCGUUAAUACGUAGGUGGCAAGCGUUGUCCGGAUUUAUUGGGCGUAAAGCGAGCGCAGGCGGUUAGAUAAGUCUGAAGUUAAAGGCUGUGGCUUAACCAUAGUACGCUUUGGAAACUGUUUAACUUGAGUGCAGAAGGGGAGAGUGGAAUUCCAUGUGUAGCGGUGAAAUGCGUAGAUAUAUGGAGGAACACCGGUGGCGAAAGCGGCUCCCUGGUCUGUAACUGACGCUGAGGCUCGAAAGCGUGGGGAGCAAACAGGAUUAGAUACCCGUGUAGUCCCUGUCUCUUAUACA
rnacentral:rRNA from 1 species